rnacentral:rRNA from 1 species
AAUCAACGCUGGCGGCGUGCCUCAGACAUGCAAGUCGAACGAUUAAAGCUCCCUUCGGGGAGUGCAUAAAGUGGCGCACGGGUGAGUAACACGUAAGUAAUCUACCCUCGGGUGGGGAAUAACAUCGGGAAACCGAUGCUAAUACCGCAUAAUGCAGCGGCACCGCAAGGUGACAGUUGUUAAAGAUUUAUUGCCUGGGGAGGAGCUUGCGGCAGAUUAGCUUGUUGGUAAGGUAACGGCUUACCAAGGCUACGAUCUGUAUCCGGUCUAAGAGGACGGUCGGACACACUGACACUGAAUAACGGGUCAGACUCCUACGGGAGGCAGCAGUCGGGAAUUUUGGGCAAUGGGGGAAACCCUGACCCAGCAACGCCGCGUGAAGGAUGAAGUAUUUCGGUAUGUAAACUUCGAAAGAAUAGGAAGAAUUAAUGACGGUACUAUUUAUAAGGUCCGGCUAACUACGUGCCAGCAGCCGCGGUAACAC